CCCAAAAGAUCGCUAGAAGAUCUACACAGUUGAAUGCUAAUCAAAUGACAAUAUAAGCAUAGGAUCUAAAAGAUUAUGAAAGCUUUACAACAAAAACAUAACAAAAACACAGAAUUAAGCCAACACUCCUUCCCCGUUUACAUGAAUGGGGAAGAAAGAAGAAUCUUGAAAUUCCUCAGUAAUCGAGGCCCAAAGAGAAGCUAAAAAUUGCUCUUUCCCACAAAAAUAUGAUAUCUUCCUCUAAAUCAUCAAAAAUGCUUCUAUUUCUUUCAAUCCAAAUCACCCAAAAAGUGGUCAUCUGAACAUUUCCACAAGCACUCUAGCCUUUUCACCUUUCCCAAAAACAUAAAUAAACUCUGAAAGCACAAACAUACCAGAAGCUGGCAUCACCCAAGAGAUUUUAGCUGCCUGAAACUAUCUACUCCACAGCUGGACAGCAUUGUGAUAAUACAGAAACAAAUGAUCCGUACUUUUGCCAUUUCUCUUGCACAUGACACACCAACAAGGAGACAAACACACAUUAGGAUUCCGCCUUUGAAUAAUAUUACCAUUACUAAGCUUUACCAAAAGCGAAUGACCAAGCAAAAAUUUGAACUUUACUUGGGACUUUAGCUUUCCAGAUCAUAUGGGCAGGCUGAAAGUUCAAAAGAACUUGAUCAUCAAUCAACUUAUCGAAAAAUGAUUUCAGCUUCCAAAUUCUUUUAUCCUCUACCAUAACAUUAACUGAAACAUUCUCCAAUAAAGCCAAACGAGUAGCACAAAACUUACUGCUUUAUUUACAGUUAAGUUUCUAAUUUGGCCCUCAAAAUCUUCAAGUUUUUACUUGACAUGGCUAGUUAUUGGCUGAUGUGACAAUGAUAGCAAUCCAUUAAUGAAAUAUGUUCGUCUAGCUUGCCUUCUCAUAUGUUAUUUCUUUUUAAGAUUCGAAGAACGGAUCAAAAUGGAAUUGAAAAC
rnacentral:lncRNA from 1 species